rnacentral:rRNA from 1 species
UGGGGAAUAUUGCACAAUGGGCGAAAGCCUGAUGCAGCAACGCCGCGUGCGGGAUGACGGCCUUCGGGUUGUAAACCGCUUUCAGCAGGGACGAAGGUUUUCUGACGGUACCUGCAGAAGAAGCACCGGCUAACUACGUGCCAGCAGCCGCGGUGAUACGUAGGGUGCGAGCGUUGUCCGGAAUUAUUGGGCGUAAAGAGCUUGUAGGCGGUUCCGUUGCGUCGGAAGUGAAAACUCAGGGGCUUAACCCUGAGGCCUGCUUUCGAUACGGGCGGACUUGAGGGAUGUAGGGAGAACGGAAUUCCUGGUGGAGCGGUGGAAUGCGCAGAUAUCAGGAGGAACACCAGUGGCGAAGGCGGUUCUCUGGACAUUUCCUGACGCUGAGAAGCGAAAGCGUGGGGNGCAAACAGGCUUAGAUACCCUGGUAGUCCACGCCGUAAACGGUGGGCACUAGGUGUGGGACCCAUUCCACGGGUUCCGUGCCGUAGCUAACGCAUUAAGUGCCCCGCCUGGGGAGUACGGCCGCAAGGCUAAAACUCAAAGGAAUUGACGGGGUCAU